rnacentral:rRNA from 1 species
GACGAACGCUGGCGGCGUGCUUAACACAUGCAAGUCGAACGGAAAGGCCCUGCUUUUGUGGGGUGCUCGAGUGGCGAACGGGUGAGUAACACGUGAGUAACCUGCCCUUGACUUUGGGAUAACUUCAGGAAACUGGGGCUAAUACCGGAUAGGAGCUCCUGCUGCAUGGUGGGGGUUGGAAAGUUUCGGCGGUUGGGGAUGGACUCGCGGCUUAUCAGCUUGUUGGUGGGGUAGUGGCUUACCAAGGCUUUGACGGGUAGCCGGCCUGAGAGGGUGACCGGCCACAUUGGGACUGAGAUACGGCCCAGACUCCUACGGGAGGCAGCAGUGGGGAAUAUUGCACAAUGGGCGGAAGCCUGAUGAAGCAACGCCGCGUGCGGGAUGACGGCCUUCGGGUUGUAAACCGCUUUCGCCUGUGACGAAGCGUGAGUGACGGUAAUGGGUAAAGAAGCACCGGCUAACUACGU